GUGCUUGCUUUGGCAGCACAUAUACUAAAAUUGGAACGAUACAGAAAAGAUUAGCAUGGCCACUGUGCAAGGAUGACAUGCAAAUUCAUGAACUGUUCCAUAUUUUU